rnacentral:tRNA from 1 species
UGCGGGCGAGUGAAACGGACAUAUAAAUCACACUGGUCUCAUAAGCCAGUUAUACUGGGUUCGACUCCCAGGCUUCCGCAA